CGGGAGCAGGUGGCCUGUGUUGAUGCAAAGGUGGCUUGUGUUUCAGCCCUUGGUGACUGAGGUCAAAGGCUUUGAAAACCCGCCAGGGUAGCUUUGGAUAUCUGUCUCUUCCUAGUCAAAGGCGCUUCCACUUUCAGUUGUAAAAGAGGAAAAAAAAAAAAAAAAAAACCAAACCAGGAAGUGAAGUCCCCAGCACCAGCAUGUCAGAAAGCCCGGCUAUGGCUUGGCUGGGACAGAUCAGGGCAGGGCAGAAGUGGGGACGCUAGCCAGGCUGCCUGCCUGCCUGCAUGGACGCUCUGAAGCCACCCUGCCCGCGGAGGAACCCGGGGUGAGGAAGGGAGAACCGGGGCUCUCCUGCCAGCAAGAAGCCGGAGACAGAAAGCCCCACUCGGAAGCUCCAAGGCGUGCGGCCCUUCACAGGACCUCAGCCAGUCUUACCUCUCAUUGACUUGGACAACCAGUCUGUAGGGAUUGAGGGAGGAGCACGGAGAGGCGCUUUCCAGAAGAACAAUGACCUAAUCCUUUAUUACUUCUCAGACGCCAAGACGUUGUAUGAAGUUUUCCAAAGAGGACUUGCUGUGUCUGACAAUGGACCUUGCUUGGGAUACAGAAAGCCGAACCAGCCCUACAAGUGGAUAUCCUACAAGCAGGUGUCUGAUCGAGCAGAGUACCUGGGCUCCUGUCUUUUGCAUAAAGGAUACAAGCCAUCGCAGGACCAAUUUAUUG
rnacentral:lncRNA from 1 species